AUUGAACGCUGGCGGCAGGCUUAACACAUGCAAGUCGAACGGUAACAGAACUAGCUUGCUAGUUGCUGACGAGUGGCGGACGGGUGAGUAACGCGUAGGAAUCUACCGAGUAGUGGGGGACAACAGUUGGAAACGACUGCUAAUACCGCAUAAUGUCUACGGACCAAAGGGGGGGAUCUUCGGACCUCUCGCUCAUUGAUUAGCCCAAGUGAGAUUAGCUAGUUGGUAAGGUAAUGGCUUACCAAGGCGACGAUCUCUAGCUGGUUUGAGAGGAUGAUCAGCCACACUGGGACUGAGACACGGCCCAG
rnacentral:rRNA from 1 species